rnacentral:rRNA from 1 species
GUCCAGACUCCUACGGGAGGCAGCAGUGAGGAAUAUUGGUCAAUGGGCGAGAGCCUGAACCAGCCAAGCCGCGUGAGGGAAGACGGCCCUAUGGGUUGUAAACCUCUUUUGUCGGAGAACAAAACCCGGGACGUGCCCCGGACUGCGUGUAUCCGAAGAAAAAGCAUCGGCUAACUCCGUGCCAGCAGCCGCGGUAAUACGGAGGAUGCGAGCGUUAUCCGGAUUUAUUGGGUUUAAAGGGUGCGUAGGCGGUCCGUUAAGUCAGCGGUAAAAUUGCGGGGCUCAACCCCGUCGAGCCGUUGAAACUGGCAGACUUGAGUUGGCGAGAAGUACGCGGAAUGCGCGGUGUAGCGGUGAAAUGCAUAGAUAUCGCGCAGAACUCCGAUUGCGAAGGCAGCGUACCGGCGCCAGACUGACGCUGAGGCACGAAAGCGUGGGGAUCGAACAGGAUUAGAUACCCGUGUA